rnacentral:guide_RNA from 1 species
ACAACAAACUCAAUUAUAAUAUAAAGUGAUGAUAAUGAGAGAAUAUAGU